AGAGUUUGAUCCUGGCUCAGAUUGAACGCUGGCGGCAGGCUUAACACAUGCAAGUCGAGCGGUAACAGAGAUAGCUUGCUAUCUGCUGACGAGCGGCGGACGGGUGAGUAAUGCUUGGGAAUAUGCCUUAUGGUGGGGGACAACAGUUGGAAACGACUGCUAAUACCGCAUAACGUCUACGGACCAAAGGGGGGGAUCUUCGGACCUCUCGCCAUUUGAUUAGCCCAAGUGAGAUUAGCUAGUUGGUAAGGUAAUGGCUUACCAAGGCGACGAUCUCUAGCUGGUUUGAGAGGAUGAUCAGCCACACUGGGACUGAGACACGGCCCAGACUCCUACGGGAGGCAGCAGUGGGGAAUAUUGCACAAUGGGCGAAAGCCUGAUGCAGCCAUGCCGCGUGUGUGAAGAAGGCCUUCGGGUUGUAAAGCACUUUCAGUUGUGAGGAAAGGAGUGUAGUUAAUAGCUGCAUUCUGUGACGUAACAACAGAAGAAGCACCGCUAACUU
rnacentral:rRNA from 1 species